rnacentral:rRNA from 1 species
GAUCAUGGCUCAGGAUGAACGCUGACAGAAUGCUUAACACAUGCAAGUCUACUUGAACUUCGGUUUGGGUGGCGGACGGGUGAGUAACGCGUAAAGAACUUGCCUCACAGUUAGGGACAACAUUUGGAAACGAAUGCUAAUACCUGAUAUUAUGAUUUUAGGGCGUCCUAAGAUUAUGAAAGUUAUAUACGCUGUGAGAGAGCUUUGCGUCCCAUUAGCUAGUUGGAGAGGUAACGGCU